ACCACCCUUGUUCACCACUGAGGUCAGUAAAGAGCAGGCUCAGGUGGUUGCUGCAGCCCAAAAGAACAGGAACAGAUAGGAAGAGCCUGGAGAAGGGAAGGCUGAGAGGGGCCUUAUCAAUGCUGAUAAAUACCUAAAUGGGGAAUCAAACACACAUCAGCCCUGGGGAGUGUCACCUGUUUGCUGUAACUUCACACAGCACAUUUUUUGCGGGAGAGACUGACAAGUUUGGUUUAGUUUGGAUGAAAAAUGGUUGUUUUGAAAGAAGAUAGAUGCAAGGAAACAACAUUCUGCAAGUGCCAGACUAACAAAGCUCCAAUGUAUAACCAAACCCAGGGGAAGGAAUAUUUAACACACCUAAGCAGAUGUAGCAGACCUGAAACAGCUGCCAAGCUGCAACUGGCAAGCAGAGGGGAGCUUUCCCACAGCAGGAAUCAGAGGAAUCCCUCCAGGAAUGUGCGUCCCCCUCCUCUCCCCGUGCCAUCCCUGGCUGCUCCACGUGCUGUCAGCAGCAGCUCAGCUCCGCGGCUGCGUGAGCCCUCGCGGAAGAGGGAUUUCCAUUUACUCCGAGCAUAAGCCCUAAUUAAUUGUUGCGAUUAAUUCAGGAUGAUUCACUUUCAGGGGCUGGGAUGAAACCGUAGGCCGGCAGCAGAGGAGCAGGAUGCUGCUGGUGAGCGUGUGCAUCCCUGGGAUGAGCCAAAGCCAAUUAGGAAAAAAGACUCAUCGAUUUAACGACCUUUGGAUUAGGCUCCAGUGAAUCGCCCUCACCGCCGUGGCAGUGGGUGCUGCGCGCUCACGAUACACAUCGUCUCCCCAGGCAGGUGGUGCCAGGAAAACAUGGGCUUGUAACACAUGAACAAAGCAUUUGGAAGAGCCUUUGGUUGCAGUGCUGAGGGCAGCUCACAGGUGCUGAUGGAGUUCCCAUAAGUGGAUGCUGUUGCCUGUGUAGUUUAAUACAAAUAUCACCCAUUUACUUGAAUAUAAAUAUCACCUGGCAAAGCUUUGGUGUUUUGUUUCAAAAGCAGUCUGAGU